rnacentral:rRNA from 1 species
AACGAACGCUGGCGGCAGGCCUAACACAUGCAAGUCGAGCGGACCUUUCGGGGUCAGCGGCGGACGGGUGAGUAACGCGUGGGAAUAUGCCCUUCUCUACGGAAUAGUCCUGGGAAACUGGGGGUAAUACCGUAUACGCCCUUUGGGGGAAAGAUUUAUCGGGGAAGGAUUAGCCCGCGUUGGAUUAGGUAGUUGGUGGGGUAAUGGCCUACCAAGCCGACGAUCCAUAGCUGGUUUGAGAGGAUGAUCAGCCACACUGGGACUGAGACACGGCCCAGACUCCUACGGGAGGCAGCAGUGGGGAAUCUUAGACAAUGGGGGCAACCCUGAUCUAGCCAUGCCGCGUGAGUGAUGAAGGCCUUAGGGUUGUGAAGCUCUUUCAGCUGGGAAGAUAAUGACGGUACCAGCAGAAGAAGCCCCGGCUAACUCCGUG